rnacentral:lncRNA from 1 species
GACGCACCUUCAUCAUAGAUGGAUUAGAUUGAUUCAUCUACUGCUGCUUUUGUUUGUUGGUCUUGGUAGAGAACUUCAUCAUGGUUGCUUCAUUGGUAAUGUUCUUUUUCUCGAAUAUGCAUGAGUAUGCGUAUCGUCUAUUCAUAGUAUGGGUAAUGCUCUUGUGCAAAUUAUGUUUAUGAACUUCCUAAUUAAUCGUUUUCUUUCAUCUAAUUCUGUUGAGAUUUUCAUGUCCCAUGCGUGUUUAUACAUCAACCCAACCUGUAGUCAUGCAUGCGAUGUAUACAUAAUUCAAUGUCAGUGACCCGAGGACGGACCAAGCGUCUGGUACGGACAUAGUUAUAAAUGUGAAAAAGCAACUAUUUAUGUGGUUAGCUAGAAUGCUCUAUAAGUACGGGUCGGUAAAUACACAAGGGAGAGAAACAUGCUAGUCUCUCAGUAGUAUGAUAAUGAAAGAACCCUGAGAGGAAGUAUUGAAUCAUGUAUAAUUCACUAAUGCACCCAUUGUUUAUCCAUGUGUACUAAGAGUUUGCGUUUGCAUGAAUUAGAUUAUGCAAACGAAUUAGAUUAGUGAUGCUUCUAGGAAACAUGGUCUAACUUAAUUAUGGGUUUUAAAUCCAGUAUGUCUGGCGCAGAAAUUUUGAUGAUGGCAGAGAGCAGAUAUUCCAAAUUCUUGAGGCCUUGAGAUAUUAUAGGGUUAUCUAUUAUCAUGGUUGGGGCGGACUUGGGGCGUCUGAUAUGCUUAGAUCCAUAGCGGAAGUGCUCCCAUAUAGAACAACCACUCCGGAACUAUGCUUUGAUAAAAUAAUUCAUAUAGAUUGCUCAUAUUGGAAAAAUAGAAGAGGGUUGCAGAGGGCAAUCGCAGAGGAAUUGGAGCUUCAAAGCUCAAUAAUGGCUAUUCUGGAUGAGCAGGAUGAAGAGGAUGAUUUUAAUGGAGUUGUUGAAAGCUCUAGGAAUGAGAUGACAAGUGUGUCAAGAGAAAUCUAAGAAAUCCUGAAAUACAACAAAUUUGCAUUGAUUUUUCAUAAUGGUAGUGAAAACGAAUUUGUUGACCUAACCAACUUUGGUGUUCCUCCAAUUACAAGUUUUGGUGACAAUCUGAUGAUAUGAUGCUAUAGAAGGAGAAUAUUGACCAUACAAAAUGAGAGAAAACAAGAACUGGUAAAAGAACUGAGGUACACACAGGUUUUGGUUUGUGGUAUGAUAGAGGAUUUACUUAGUGGAGACUGGUAUGCACUACUGUGUAAGGAGGCUGCCAUCAUAAUUGCUGGCAAUCCAUGCAUCCAGAUCCAGCGAGUCAAUCCAAUGAUGGUUGUCGAUUGUUGUUUGUACAAACUAUUCUUGCAAUGUAGUUUUGACAAGACCAAUUCUGCAUGGGGAUAAAUGAUGUAACACUGGAGAUAAAUGAUGCAUUGCAUAGAGAGAUAAGGUGGGAGUGGGACGAUGAUGUGCUCACAAAGUUCAAGAAACAUCUCAAGCUUCCUUUCCUUGUAGUUCAAGAAGAUGGUGUAUAUGAAGAAGAUUCAUACCGUUGGAUUUCAAUCACAUUGAGGGAUAGGGAAAUACUGGGUAUGAAUAAUUUACCAGCAGAGACAUCAUCAUUCUUCUUGGAGUUUCAAAUAUCUGGUCAACCAACAGCAUUGCCAAAUAGUUUAUUUCAACAUUCCAGAAACCUUGGUGUGCUAAUUCUGUGUUGUUGUGCCUUCAAUUUUGCAUCACCCCCUUUUCUAAAAUGUCAUAGCAUAAGAUUCCUUGGACUGGACCACUGUACAGAUGACAGAACCGGUGAAGGAGAGGAUCAUACUGAGUGGGAUUGCUUGGAUAGCUUGUGGGUGUUAGACCUACGCCACACUGCUUGGAAUGAAAUCUUAUCACCAGAAAAGAUGGGCCUCAUGGAUAACCUCAUGGAGCUAAGCAUAGAGGGAGUCUGGUGUUGGCAAUACACAACUCGCUUACAAGGGCAGCUACCAAACCUAAGAUGGUUUCGGGUUAUCAAGCCUGCUUGUAGACCAGGUAUUUCAGCAUACCUAGGCAACUCAUUCAUGCACAAGGAAAAGCUAGAAAUACUUGACCUGUCUGGCAACAGUGAGAUGAAAAUUCUACCAAACGGCAUAUCUAAAGCAAGUAGUCUCCAGGUGCUCAUUCUGGAUGAUUGCAAUGAUCUUAAAAAUGUCCUUGUCCCUGAUGGGCUACCUCACUCGCUGAAGUCCUUUAGCUUUGACGGAUAUGGGCCAGCUUUCCACCGGGCGUCAAUUGUUGAGCUGCCUGCCAAACAAGAACGCCCGUCGACCCAAACUACUAAGGAGGGUGCUAGUGUGUCUAGUAUUUCCCUCAAAGGCUGCACACAAUUGGAAAAUAUGUUUGUGCGUGGGUUGCCCAACCUCGUCGAACUUGACCUCUCUGGAACUGCAAUUAAGACACUUGAUUUCAGCACUAUGGUGCUAGAAGUCCCAAUGCUGAAGCAAUUAUUUCUGCUAGGAUGUAAGAACCUUUGUGCAAUAAUUCGGAGCAUGGCAGAUAUCCCUUCCUUGAAUUUGUUAUGCAUAGACACGCGAGCUGGAGCGGGCUGUCGUCCGCCGUCCAUUGACCAGAACAAAUCAUUUCGGCUGCAGGUGCAUGCCAGUGUUGUGGAUGCGAGGCUUUUUCGAUCAUUGGAGAAUCCACUGUUUCAUCAUUAUGAACCUGAGGAUGUGUGCUUUAAUAUCCAUGCCACCUCACCGGUGUCUAACGGACCAGUUCAAUCCAUAGUGACCUACAAGGAGAAAAAGGUCGUCAUGCAUGGAGAUCAACUCGGCCUGCUGCAGCUUGUUCAAGACGGCCGGUACGGUGAUCUCCAAGAAAUAGUUGGUGAUGCCCCGAUGCAGGUUUUCCCAAAUCCUCCGACUGACAAGUUUAAUCGGCAUAUUGAGAUUGCUGAAGGGAGCCACGUCUUUGAUUAUGCCCUCGUACGUGUGAUGACAAGGUUUGUUGAAUCAUUGCAUGUCCAUGAUGUCUCGACUAUUGGAAGUAUGUUUUCGGGAAAAUGGACGUUUCUAAGGCAAUGCCGCAUGGAGAGGUGCCCCAAGUUGGAUGAAUUCUUCCCGAUCGGAUCAGGUGGAUUUUUGCAGCUGGAGACCAUCUGGGCGAUAGAUCUCCGGAUGGCCCACUGGGUAUGCAAUAAAACGGGUUACCAAGACUACAAUGAUGGUUCAUUCAAGAAUCUGCGGUGCCUACGAUUAUGCUCUUGCCCCAGCCUUCAGUUUGUGCUCCCUGUAUGGGUCAACUCCUUCCCAAGUUUGGAGACCCUGCACAUCAUCCACUGCGGACAGCUCAGACACGUAUUCGUGCUACACCAACUGUGGUACCCAAUGGAAAUAUCCAUCCAAGGUGUAGCAUUCCCGAAGCUGGCCACCAUCCACCUGCACGACCUGCCAGUGCUGCAGCAGAUAUGCGAGGUCAAGAUGGUGGCACCAAAUCUCAAGACCAUCAAGAUCAGAGGAUGUUGGGCCCUGCGCCGGCUUCCGGUGGUGGGGACCCGUAGCGGAGACAUGAAGAAGCCAACCGCCGAGAUCGAGAAAGACGUCUGGGACGCGCUUGAGUGGGACGGGGAGGUGUGCCCCGACCACUUCGAGGCGCCGCUGCACUCACGCUACUACAAGAAGAAACUGCCCAGGGUCUCCGUGCUCAGGUACUCUCACUUACACAUGUAGCAAAUCCAUUUUUGCUGAACUGUCAACAUCAUACUCGAUGUCAGCUUUGUUAUUCACUCUUUUUUUUCUGCACUCUGCCACUUACAUUGUGUAGGUGAUCCUUGCGCCGCGCUUCACCGAUGUGGUUCUUCCAUCCUUAAUGGGAGACCAGAUGGACGCCCGAUCCUGCAGGUCCUGUUGUCUGCUGCAUGUGUUUGGUUUGUUGUGUGCUUCCCGGGUUGCUUGAAAGAGAUUUGCAGGUGGUGUCGGUCAUCGAUCGAUCGGCUCCUACUGCUGCUUUGUGUUCUUGUGUCUGUCAGGUGUGAGCUUGUGGUGGCUCGCACCUAGCAUUGUGGCUUUCAAAUAAGAAGCAGCAUGCAUGGUUCUUGGCUGCUCGCACCGACGUGUGUGCCCAAGUGUGGCUUGCUAUGUGUGUGCCUGCUUGCAACAUCUUAGCUAUAUGCGUGUGCACCUUGAGUGCUUGACUAAGCAGCAGUUGUGUGACUGCCUCGUGUGGUUUGGGAGUGUGUUUGUCUGAACACAGGAGCAGCUUGGUCAGUGCAUUGGACCUGCUAUAUAUUGUUCGUGUGUGUGUUAUGCUUGUGGAAUAAACAUCUUAUAAUACUAAGAGGAUGGAUUUCAGUUUGUAAAUUGCAUUGGUAUCAAUGAAUUUGUAAUAUUGUGUAACCUUACGAUAUUUAUUACUUAAACAUGUUAUAUGUACGUCGCGUCAGUUUUGUGAUAUGCCAUGUAAUGACUCUAGAAUUUCUGAAUAAAUC